ACGAACGCUGGCGGCGUGCUUAACACAUGCAAGUCGAACGGAAAGGCCCCCUUGUGGGGUACUCGAGUGGCGAACGGGUGAGUAACACGUGAGUAACCUACCCUUGACUUUGGGAUAACUUCAGGAAACUGGGGCUAAUACCGGAUAGGAGCUCCUGCUGCAUGGUGGGGGUUGGAAAGUUUCGGCGGUUGGGGAUGGGCUCGCGGCUUAUCAGCUUGUUGGUGGGGUAGUGGCUCACCAAGGCUUUGACGGGUAGCCGGCCUGAGAGGGUGACCGGCCACAUUGGGACUGAGAUACGGCCCAGACUCCUACGGGAGGCAGCAGUGGGGAAUAUUGCACAAUGGGCGGAAGCCUGAUGCAGCAACGCCGCGUGCGGGAUGACGGCCUUCGGGUUGUAAACCGCUUUCGCCUGUGACGAAGCGUGAGUGACGGUAAUGGGUAAAGAAGCACCGGCUAACUACGUG
rnacentral:rRNA from 1 species